rnacentral:rRNA from 1 species
UUACACAUGCAAGUCGAACGGCAGCACGGGAGCAAUCCUGGUGGCGAGUGGCGAACGGGUGAGUAAAGUAUCGGAACGUGCCCAGUCGUGGGGGAUAACGUAGCGAAAGUUACGCUAAUACCGCAUACGAUCUAUGGAUGAAAGCGGGGGAUCGCAAGACCUCGCGCGAUUGGAGCGGCCGAUAUCAGAUUAGGUAGUUGGUGGGGUAAAGGCUCACCAAGCCGACGAUCUGUAGCUGGUCUGAGAGGACGACCAGCCACACUGGGACUGAGACACGGCCCAGACUCCUACGGGAGGCAGCAGUGGGGAAUUUUGGACAAUGGGCGCAAGCCUGAUCCAGCCAUGCCGCGUGCAGGAUGAAGGCCUUCGGGUUGUAAACUGCUUUUGUACGGAACGAAAAGGUUUGGCCUAAUAAGCUGAGCUCAUGACGGUACCGUAAGAAUAAGCACCGGCUAACUACGUGCCAGCAGCCGCGGUAAUACGUAGGGUGCGAGCGUUAAUCGGAAUUACUGGGCGUAAAGCGUGCGCAGGCGGUUAUGUAAGACAGAUGUGAAAUCCCCGGGCUCAACCUGGGAACUGCAUUAGUGACUGCAUAGCUGGAGUACGGCAGAGGGGGAUGGAAUUCCGCGUGUAGCAGUGAAAUGCGUAGAUAUGCGGAGGAACACCGAUGGCGAAGGCAAU